rnacentral:rRNA from 1 species
UGAGGAAUAUUGGUCAAUGGGCGGAAGCCUGAACCAGCCACGCCGCGUGCAGGACGACGGCCCUACGGGUUGUAAACUGCUUUUCCGGGGGAAGAAUAACCCCCUGCGGGGGGGAUGCCGGUACCCCGGGAAUAAGGAUCGGCUAACUCCGUGCCAGCAGCCGCGGUAAUACGGAGGAUCCUAGCGUUAUCCGGAUUUACUGGGUUUAAAGGGUGCGUAGGCGGACCCCUAAGUCCGCGGUGAAAGUCUGCGGCUCAACCGUAGGAUUGCCGUGGAUACUGGGGGUCUUGGAUUCGGUCGGGGCGGGCGGAAUGCGUGGUGUAGCGGUGAAAUGCAUGGAUAUCACGCAGAACGCCGAUAGCGAAGGCAGCUCGCCGGGCCGACAUCGACGCUGAGGCA